AAGCUCGUAGUUGAAAUUGUGUCCUGCGGCGUCGGUCCGCCUUUGCGGCGCGACAGACGCGUCUGCGGGGCUUCUCGCCGGUGUGUUUUUAUCGGUAUUCGUAUCGAUGAAUCCUCGCGGCUGUUUACUUUGAACAAAUUAGAGUGCUCAAAGCGGGCUGAUUUUCGCCUGAAUAUUGUGCGCAUGGAAUAAUAGAAUAGGACCUCGGUUCAAUUUUGUUGGCUUUCUGACACCAGAGGUAAUGAUUAAUAGGGACAACUGGGGGCAUUCGUAUUGCGACGUUAGAGGUGAAAUUCUUGGAUCGUCGCAAGACGGACUAAAGCGAAAGCAUUUGCCAAAGGUGUUUUCAUUAAUCAAGAACGAAAGUUAGAGGUUCGAAGGCGAUUAGAUACCGCUGUAGUUCUAACCAUAAAUGAUGCCAGCCAGCGAUCCGCCGAGGGUAUUAAUAUUGAAUCGGUGGGCAGCUCCCGGGAAACCAA
rnacentral:rRNA from 2 species